UCCAGCGCACUCACCUAUCCACUAAACGGCAACUUCAAUGUUGAAAGAUUUUAUUAGUUUUUUUAAAAAACACCUAAUCUAGGCAAAAAUAAUAAUAAUAAUAACCCCCAUUAUUUUUGCCUAGAUUAGGUGUUUUUUAAAAAAAAACUAAUAAAAUCUUUCAACAUUGAAGUUGCCGUUUAGUGGAUAGGUGAGUGCGCUGGA